UCAAGAAUCUUCCCCAAUGGACGAAAGUCUGAGGGAGCGACGCCGCGUGCAGGAUGAAGGCCUUCGGGUCGUAAACUGCUUUUAUAUGGGACGAAUACGUGACGGUACCAUAAGAAUCAGAGGUUGCUAACUCUGUGCCAGCAGCAGCGGUAAUACAGGGACCUCAAGCGUUGUCCGGAUUUAUUGGGCGUAAAGCGUCCGUCGGUUGUUUGGAAAGUCAGGAGUCAAAACUUAGGGCUCAACCUGAAGAUCGCUCUUGAAACUUCCAAACUAGAGGAUGGGAGAGGUAAGCGGAACCACAGGUGUAGUCGUAAUAAGCGUUGAUAUCUGUGGGAACACCAAAGGCGAAGGCAGCUUACUAGAACAUUCCUGACACUUAAGGACGAAAGCGUGGGUAGCGAAUG
rnacentral:rRNA from 1 species